AACGAACGCUGGCGGCAGGCUUAACACAUGCAAGUCGAACGGGCACCUUCGGGUGUCAGUGGCAGACGGGUGAGUAACGCGUGGGAACGUACCUUUCGGUUCGGAAUAACCCAGGGAAACUUGGACUAAUACCGGAUACGCCGGAAACGGGAAAGAUUCAUCGCCGAAAGAUCGGCCCGCGUCGGAUUAGCUAGUUGGUGAGGUAACGGCCCACCAAGGCGACGAUCCGUAGCUGGUCUGAGAGGAUGANCAGCCACACUGGGACUGAGACACGGCCCAGACUCCUACGGGAGGCAGCAGUGGGGAAUAUCGGACAAUGGGCGAAAGCCUGAUCCAGCCAUGCCGCGUGAGUGAAGAAGGCCUUAGGGUUGUAAAGCUCUUUCGUUGGG
rnacentral:rRNA from 1 species